CCUACGGGUGGCUGCAGUGGGGAAUAUUGGACAAUGGGGGGAACCCUGAUCCAGCCAUGCCGCGUGUGUGAAGAAGGCCCUCGGGUUGUAAAGCACUUUCAGUGAGGAAGAACGCCUGGUGGUUAAUACCCAUCAGGAAAGACAUCACUCACAGAAGAAGCACCGGCUAACUCCGUGCCAGCAGCCGCGGUAAUACGGAGGGUGCGAGCGUUAAUCGGAAUUACUGGGCGUAAAGCGCGCGUAGGUGGCUUGAUAAGCCGGUUGUGAAAGCCCCGGGCUCAACCUGGGAACGGCAUCCGGAACUGUCAAGCUAGAGUGCAGGAGAGGAAGGUAGAAUUCCCGGUGUAGCGGUGAAAUGCGUAGAGAACGGGAGGAAUACCAGUGGCGAAGGCGGCCUUCUGGACUGACACUGACACUGAGGUGCGAAAGCGUGGGUAGCAAACAGGAUUAGAUACCCUGGUAGUC
rnacentral:rRNA from 1 species